GACAGGCGUAGGCGAUGGAUAACAGGUUGAUAUUCCUGUACCACCUAGUAUCGUUUUAAUCGAUGGGGGGACGCAGUAGGAUAGGCGAAGCGUGCUGUUGGAGUGCACGUCCAAGCAGUAAGGCUGAGUGUUAGGCAAAUCCGGCACUCAUAAGGCUGAGCUGUGAUGGGGAGAGGAAAUUGUUUCCUCGAGUCGUUGAUUUCACACUGCCGAGAAAAGCCUCUAGAUAGAUAACAGGUGCCCGUACCGCAAACCGACACAGGUAGUCAAGAUGAGAAUUCUAAGGUGAGCGAGCGAACUCUCGUUAAGGAACUCGGCAAAAUGACCCCGUAACUUCGGGAGAAGGGGU
rnacentral:rRNA from 1 species